rnacentral:rRNA from 1 species
GGGAACCCGGGGAACUGAAACAUCUUAGUACCCGGAGGAAAAGAAAGUAAAAACGAUUCCGUGAGUAGUGGCGAGCGAAAGCGGAGUAGCCCGAAAGAGGGGAAGUAAUUCCCCUCCGGUAUCAGAAUACAAAGAAACGUUAGCCGAAGAUAUCUGGAAAGGUAUCCCGAAGAGAGUGACAGGCUCGUAGGCGAAAACGUUUUGAGUAGGAUACAACGAGUACGUCGGAACACGAGGAAUUCUGACGGAAUAUGUGGGGACCAUCCCAUAAGGCU